GGACUACUGGGGUUUCUAAUCCUGUUCGCUCCCCACGCUUUCGUGCCUUAGUGUCAGAAACGGCCCAGCAAGCUGCCUUCGCCAUUGGUGUUCCUACUGAUAUCUACGCAUUUCACUGCUACACCAGUAAUUCCACUUGCCUCUGCCGUCCUCUAGAUGUCCAGUAUGCACCACAGCCACAUGGUUGAGCCAUGGGAUUUCAUGAUGCACUUAGACUUCCACCUACGCACUCUUUACGCCCAGUGAUUCCGGAUAACGCUUGGACCCUACGUAUUACCGCGGCGGCUGGCAC
rnacentral:rRNA from 1 species